UAUGAAUUCUGGGUAACAGCGUUGACAGUUUGUGGUGAAAGCAACAGGAGUUUAACAGAAAAAGUGGAAACAAAAGCGGACAAGCCUCGUAUUGAACAUCAAGUAACUCCUUUGAUUCUUAAAGACAGCUUUAACGUCACAUUAUGGACAUUCAAACCACACAAUGGACCAAUUAGCUUGUACCAGG